GAUGAACGCUGGCGGCGUGCCUAAUACAUGCAAGUCGAGCGAACGGACGAGAAGCUUGCUUUUCUGAUGUUAGCGGCGGACGGGUGAGUAACACGUGGAUAACCUACCUAUAAGACUGGGAUAACUUCGUGAAACCGGAGCUAAUACCGGAUAAUAUUUUGAACCGCAUGGUUCAAAAGUGAAAGACGGUCUUGCCGUCACUUAUAGAUGGAUCCGCGCUGCAUUAGCUAGUUGGUAAGGUAACGGCCUACCAAGGCAACGAUGCAUAGCCGACCUGAGAGGGUGAUCGGCCACACUGGAACUGAGACACGGUCCAGACUCCUACGGGAGGCAGCAGUAGGGAAUCUUCCGCAAUGGGCGAAAGCCUGACGGAGCAACGCCGCGUGAGUGAUGAAGGUCUUCGGAUCGUAAAACUCUGUUAUUAGGGAAGAACAUAUGUGUAAUUAACUGUGCACAUCUUGACGGUACCUAAUCAGAAAGCCACGGCUAACUACGUG
rnacentral:rRNA from 1 species